rnacentral:rRNA from 1 species
GAUUAACGCUGGCGGCGUGCCUAACACAUGCAAGUCGAGCGGCAGCGAGUUUUACACUGAAUUCUGGAAGCUUCUAGUUGAAAGAGAAGAUUUAUUCAAGAAUUUUGUGUAAAAUGUCGGCGAGCGGCGGACGGCUGAGUAACGCGUGGGAACGUACCCCAAAGUGAGGGAUAACGCAUCGAAAGGUGUGCUAAUACCGCAUAUGGUCUUCGGAUUAAAGCCUUCGGGCGCUUUGGGAACGGCCUGCGUAAGAUUAGAUAGUUGGUGGGGUAAUGGCCUACCAAGUCGACGAUCUUUAACUGGUUUGAGAGGAUGAUCAGUCAGACUGGAACUGAGACACGGUCCAGACUCCUACGGGAGGCAGCAGUGAGGAAUCUUCCACAAUGGGCGAAAGCCUGAUGGAGCAACGCCGCGUGCAGGAUGAAGGCCUUCGGGUUGUAAACUGCUUUUAUAAGUGAGGAUUAUGACAGUAACUUAUGAAUAAGGAUCGGCUAACUACGUGCCAGCAGCCGCGGUCAUACGUAGGAUCCGAGCGUUAUCCGGAGUGACUGGGCGUAAAGAGUUGCGUAGGUGGUUUAAUAAGCGAAUAGUGAAAUCUGGUGGCUCAACCAUUCAGACUAUUAUUCGAACUGUUAAACUCGAGAGCAGAAGAGGUAGCUGGAAUUUCUAGUGUAGGAGUGAAAUCCGUAGAUAUUAGAAGGAACACCGAUGGCGUAGGCAGGCUACUGGGCUGUUUCUGACACUGAGGCACGAAAGCGUGGGGAGCGAACCGGAUUAGAUACCCGGGUAGUCCACGCCGUAAACGAUGGAUACUAGCUGUUUGGGGUAUCGACCCCCUGAGUAGCGAAGCUAACGCGUUAAGUAUCCCGCCUGUGGAGUACGAUCGCAAGAUUAAAACAUAAAGGAAUUGACGGGGACCCGCACAAGCGGUGGAUCAUGUUCUUUAAUUCGAUGAUAACCGAUAAACCUUACCAGGUCUUGACAUCCUUGGAAUCUUUCAGAAAUGAGAGAGUGCUUUUUAAGAGCCAAGUGACAGGUGAUGCAUGGCCGUCGUCAGCUCGUGUCGUGAGAUGUUUGGUUAAGUCCAUCAACGAGCGCAACCCUUGUCAGUAGUUGUAUUUUUCUACUGAGACUGCCCCGGUAACGGGGAGGAAGGAGGGGAUGACGUCAGGUCAGUAUUUCCCUUACGUCCUGGGCUAGAAACGUGAUACAAUGGCUAGUACAAUGCGCAGCGGAGCCGCGAGGUGAAGCAAAUCGCAUCAAAGCUAGUCCCAGUUCGGAUUGUAGGCUGAAACUCGCCUGCAUGAAGUCGGAAUCGCUAGUAAUCGCAGAUCAGCAUGCUGCGGUGAAUACGUUCCCGGGUCU